CCUACGGGUGGCAGCAGUGGGGAAUAUUGCGCAAUGGGCGAAAGCCUGACGCAGCGACGCCGCGUGAGGGAUGAAGGUCUUCGGAUCGUAAACCUCUGUCAGCAGGGAAGAACGGUCACUGUGCUAAUCAGCAGUGAAUUGACGGUACCUGCAAAGGAAGCACCGGCUAACUCCGUGCCAGCAGCCGCGGUAAUACGGAGGGUGCGAGCGUUAUCCGGAUUUAUUGGGUUUAAAGGGUGCGCAGGCGGCGUGUCAAGUCAGCGGUAAAAUGUCGGGGCUCAACCCCGGCCGGCCGUUGAAACUGGCGUGCUCGAGUUGGAGAGAAGUAUGCGGAAUUCGUGGUGUAGCGGUGAAAUGCAUAGAUAUCACGAAGAACCCCGAUUGCGAAGGCAGCAUACCGGCUCCACACUGACGCUGAGGCACGAAAGCGUGGGUAUCGAACAGGAUUAGAUACCCUUGUAGUC
rnacentral:rRNA from 1 species